GCCGCCGCUCUUCCGCGCCCUCACCAUCCAAGCGAGCCCGCAGUGAAGCUGCCUCUUCAUCCAGGCGGCUCCGCUCAGCAGCCGCAUCUGUGUCUAAUCGCCGCCGCUCCACCGCUGCAGCCUCGUCCAGCCGUUUGCGGUCCGCUGCCGCUGCCUCCUCCAAGGCCUUCGCAUGCUCCUCCCUCUCCUGUUUCAGUUGUAGUCUUAAGCUAGCCGAGUCUUCCAUGGGCUGCGUGGGCUGAGAAGCUUCCAUGGUGGGCACCUGCCGCGGCGACAUUUACGACGAAUGCCAGCAGAAAGUUAUGUCCAAAAGAGCAGGGCAGCAGGCACGCCACGGUAAUAAAUGAGAUAGUCGUUUUUAAUAUAUGAAAAAUCCUAAGUCUGGAUUAGGUUUCCAGGUAUGGCAUCUAUGGCGUAGGUCAUGCAUGGCAGGCAAGUGCGAGCGAGAGCAGAGACGGACUCACCACCUGGUUGCGAGGUGUAGGCUGAACGCGCACGACAUUGCCUGCCUCCUGUUGCAUAGGGGACAUUAAUCAUUAAAGUAUGGACAGGUCAUACCACCUGCCGACGGAGCUACCCUGUCGCGUACCGUGGAGCCUGCUCCACCCAUGUUUAAGAAUGAGAUAAAAAUGCAAGUUAACAGAGAAGUUUAAGCGCGAGCUUGCUGGUCAGGCACUGUUGUGCCGGUAUUCGAUUGUCUAUGCCUUAGGUUUAUUACGUUCCAUGUUAAGCAGGCCAGUAAUGCGAAGUAUCUCUCUUAUAUGUAUCUCCCUUAUACGUCUAAAUUAAAUGCAAAAGCCUCGGACGCAAGUACUCAUGUCAGCGUUACCGGCAGGGCAACUAGGCACUAAGGACAGGCGCCGCGUGAGAUUCGUACAAUGCAACAGCAAUCAUAAGCAGAGCUAUGAGCUCUGCAUGCCUACGAAUGAAUUACGGAUGAGCCGGCGCGCGAAUGUUGCAAGACCAUGUUUGUACGGCAGCCUUAGAUAUGUGAUAUUGGCUAAAUUUAAGCUGGGUAGUGAUCAAUUUGUAAAGUCGCAUAGCGUUGAAGUAUAUAAGGUUUCAUGAUUCCUUGCGACACCACGACAUGCUGUUAGAGAUAAGAGUCCUUCAGUGAACACAUCACUCGCUCAUAUCGU
rnacentral:lncRNA from 1 species